CCAGGGCCAAGGCCCGCCGGUGCUUCUUCAUCUUCUCCUCCUUCUUCCCCCUGCCAGAAGGCGGCACAUCCUCCCGGCAGCCGCCACUGCCGAGGCCAAGAUGGAGGAGCCGGAGCAGGAGCGCGAGAAUGUGACCGAUAGUCCUAAGGGCUAUGGCGCUGGCUGAGCGGCUCCUCAGUGGCUCGCGUCCUGGCAGCCCUCUCUGAGGGCCCCACAGAGGCGCGGACAGGGGCGCUUCACAGGACUCCGGGGACCGCCGCCGCUGCAGCCACCGGCUCGUCCACGCCCGCCUCCUGCAGCCGCCACUGCCGCCCCAUAUCCUCCCCGCCCGCCGGGGGCCUUGCUCCGUGAGGCCAGCGACCAACGGCCGCCGCGUACUCGCCUCUCAACAGCCAAUCGCCGGCGGGGCCGCGACACCUCACACACCGCUGAGCUGGAAAGGGACGCGUCACCCAAGUCCCGCGGCGCCCGCACCCCCACCAGCCUCUGCGCAGGCCACGCCCCCUUCGACGUCGCAGGCGGAGAAGCCGGAGGCAGGAGACCACAAAGCGCAGGAGCAGAUGCUCUCGCCGCUCCGCCCGCCCCAGGUCCCGCCCACUUGCUGGCUUGCGUUCAGAAAGCCGGGAGGAGCCCAGUGAUCCUCAGCAUUUCCCCUUACAGUGGACCGCCCUUCGUCCCUCGCGCGCUGAGUCCGCGCAAGGGCCUUUGGGAGUUGUAGUUUGCCUUCCAGAAUUCGUUUUUCUCUUUCCCAGUCCCUCCUAGAAUCCAUGGUUUUGUUAGAGAAGUCUAUAGUUUCGCUGCUCACCACGAGACUGAUCAGCUUUGGAACUGUUGCACUGUUUUCCUCUUUUGAGCACAGUUCGUGGAAUGGCCUAGAAUGACGUGUGUGUUGUGAGGGAAGCUGCACCAAGCCCUUUCCCUGUGGCAAUGGACUGCCCCAUUGAGCUAGAUGUUGAUUGGUAGAUAGAAAGGGGCGUGCCAAGAAUCCUCUCAUCUGAUUGGUUGCAGCGGAAAACCUUUCGCUUUUUCUUCUCUUCAGCAAGAAUUUCGCCGCUUGCCGGGUUCCUCACUUUAAGUGUGCUUCGUUGCUUUUCGUUCUGUUGGUUUCGAACUUUGGGUUCUCUGCGAUGGAGUCGGAAGGGAGGAGUUGUCCCCAUUAGAGGAGCACCCACAGACGCUCCAAGUCCUGGGGUUCACCUAAAGUGGGGAAGGCAGUCGCUUACACUCACCUAAGAAGAGCAAAAAGUGACCACUUCUCAAUACUAAGUAACGGGGCAGCAUGCCCAUUCCAAGUGUUUACGCCGCUGAGGGGACGGAGGCUGCAAUGGUCUGUGCCUUGGAACAUGGCAUAAUGUUUAGUGUGAAAAAUGUUUAAAGGACGGGUUACUUAUUGUUCAUGUGGCCGUAGGGAAAAAACCCUCAGUAAAAUGCCCACCUAACGCCUAAUUUUGAGCCGCGGAAUUUCCUUAUGAACCUUCUAAGUUGAAUUGGAUGUUAAUUAUAGUCCCAAAGAACUGAAUGAUUUGAUCCGCUCUGUGAUUCUUGGAUAUAAGUCAAUUUGAUGUUAGAGAAAUUAUACAAAGGGUGAUAAUUUUUGUUUUAAAGGAGUUCACCCUGAACUGCCUUUUCUGGCAGUAAUUAGGUACAGUUCCACUUAUCUGCUGAUGCCACUCUUAGUAUAUGACAAUAAAAUCCUUUCAUCUGUCA
rnacentral:lncRNA from 10 species